AUUCUCUCAGCUUUGCUUGAUCACAGGCCUAGUGUGUGCUUGGCAUCUUUUCAGAGAGAGAGAGGAAGGUCCUCCUAAUGCACGGCAGACCUGCCUAAAGUGGUCUCUCUGUUUCUGGGAGUGCAACAGCG